rnacentral:rRNA from 1 species
UGGGCCGACAGAGUUUGAUCCUGGCUCAGAACGAACGCUGGCGGCAGGCCUCAAACAUGCAAGUCUAGGGGGCGUAGCAAUACGUCACCGGCGGACGGGUGCGUAACACGUGGGAAUGUACUUAUUGGUUCGGAACAACUCAGGGAAACUUGAGCUAAUACCGAAUGUGCCCGUAAGGGGAAAGAUUUAUCGCCAAUAAAUCAGCCCGCGUCCGAUUAGCUAGUUGGUGGGGUAAAGGCUCACCAAGGCGACGAUCGGUAGCUGUUCUGAGAGGAAGAUCAGCCACACUGGGACUGAGACACGGCCCAGACUCCUACGGGAGGCAGCAGUUGGGAAUCUUGGACAAUGGGGGAAACCCUGAUCCAGCCAUGCCGCGUGAGUGAUGAAGGCCUUAGGGUUGUAAAACUCUUUCGGCGGGGACGAUAAUGACGGUACCCGCAGAAGAAGCUCCGGCUAACUUCGUGCCAGCAGCCGCGGUAAUA